GCCGGUCGCCGCCGCCGGCUGCGGGCUGCACCGCUGCAGGCCGCCGCUCGUCAGCCCCGGAUCCGUCCGUUCCAGUCGUCCUGGGGCUGGGGCGGCCCUGCAGUGCCGCUGUGCCGGCGCCGCGCGUCCAGGCGCCCCCGCCGCGGCUCGGUGCCACGCCAGGUCGCCAGCGGCCAGGGGCAGGCCGCAGGGGCAAGCCGGCGCGCUCGGCGCACCGCGCACAGCGGCCAGGCACGCACCUCAGCUGCCCGAGGUAGAGGCGGCUGCGGCAUCGACGGCUCAAGGAAGAAGCUCCGUCUGUCCAAGGACCAGGCGGCUGUGCUCGAGGACAGCUUCCGGGAGCACCCCACUCUCAACCCUGUAAGUAACCAUCAUCCUGUCCGGCAAGAGCAGACUAGUCAUCAAUGGAUGAACAGCGGGCCUCAAUCAUUCACUAGCAAGCUGGCUGAUCUCGAUCUAAACAGAGCUGCUUUAUGGCGUGCAGCGGCAGAAGGCAGCCUCAGCCGCCCGAGGUAGAGGCGGGCCGGCGGACUCCAGAUGGAGCGACGGACAGGCCGGACGGAGCGACGGCCUGAGACAGGAAGCCGGCAAGUGUCUGAGCUCGGUUCGCGAAGAAGACGACCAGAGACAGUGAACCAAGGUUUAAACUAUGAAAAGGAAGAGGGGUGGUAGUGCCGCCAUUGAUUUGAAAUCUUUCUUGCAAAGAGCUGCGGCAA